CCUACGGGAGGCAGCAGUGGGGAAUUUUGGACAAUGGGCGAAAGCCUGAUCCAGCAAUGCCGCGUGAGUGAAGAAGGCCUUCGGGUUGUAAAGCUCUUUUGUCAGGGAAGAAACGGUGAAAGCUAAUAUCUUUUGCUAAUGACGGUACCUGAAGAAUAAGCACCGGCUAACUACGUGCCAGCAGCCGCGGUAAUACGUAGGGUGCAAGCGUUAAUCGGAAUUACUGGGCGUAAAGCGUGCGCAGGCGGUUUUGUAAGUCUGAUGUGAAAUCCCCGGGCUCAACCUGGGAAUUGCAUUGGAGACUGCAAGGCUAGAAUCUGGCAGAGGGGGGUAGAAUUCCACGUGUAGCAGUGAAAUGCGUAGAUAUGUGGAGGAACACCGAUGGCGAAGGCAGCCCCCUGGGUCAAGAUUGACGCUCAUGCACGAAAGCGUGGGGAGCAAACAGGAUUAGAUACCCUGGUAGUCCACGCCCUAAACGAUGUCUACUAGUUGUCGGGUCUUAAUUGACUUGGUAACGCAGCUAACGCGUGAAGUAGACCGCCUGGGGAGUACGGUCGCAAGAUUAAAACUUAAAGGAAUUUGACCGGCUGAGACGUAGACGACGGACGACGACGAGGGAGGAGG
rnacentral:rRNA from 1 species